AUCUUCCGCCCGGCCAUCGGGCCGCGGGCGCUCGGAACCGACCUGGGAGCUGGCGGGACCGUCCUCCCCCGCCACGCCCUCCCAUCGGGCUUUGGGCGCCGGACUCUGGCCACCGCUCGGCACCUGCCUCCGCCUCGCCUUGGGGUAUAGGAGUCCUGUACCGACCCCUGGCUUGCCCAGAGGACAGGUUCUCGCCCGGGCCAGAAGCAAACUGCGGCGAAAUCGAGACAACAGAACUCAGAGUCACUCUGUCACCCAGGCUGGAGUGCAGUGGCACCAUCACAGCUCCCUGCAGCCUUGACUUACAGGGCUCCAGUGAUCCUCCACCCUCAGCCUCCUGAGUAUCUGAGACCACAGGUGCAAGCCACCAUGCCCAGUUGUAGCAAGGAAACCAAAAGGUAUAAACAUUCACUGAUUGAAAAACAAUGUCAUAAAGUCAUCCCAGUAUCUGUGAGGAGUUGGUUCCAGGACCCCUGAGGACACCAAAAUCCUCAGAUGCUCAAGUCCCUGAUAAAAAAAUAAAAGCAGUGGUGCCCUCGGGUUCAAAAACCUGAACGGUGGUCUUCAGUUGUUCCCCCAAGCUCCUCUAUCAGAGGCCCAGACACUCCAAGAGGCUGGGAAGAGGCAAGUGGCUUUCCCUGACUGGCAUCAGACUCCUGGAUGGCUGUGUUUCUGCAUACUCCACCAUCAACAAUCAGAAGGGCACUGCUUUCUUCAAGAAGGGGACCUUGCAAAGAACUGUCUCAGAUGGACUAUCUUUGAGUUCAUCUUGUUCUGAAUGUGAGUCUGAGUCUUUGUUUCCAGAUGACACAGUGCUGUCUGAGUCCUCUGAAUCACCUGCCUCAGAGCUGCAGCAAAGUUUCUGCUGCCCAGAAACUGAAUGGGCUGCUUGUAAUGCAGAUUCUUCCUCCUGGACAAGAAGUGCUGCUGCUUCUAGUUCUUCCAGUUCUAACCCCAACUGGGCCUUUGUAAGGGAGACUUCCUUUAAGGCUUCUGCAAGAGCUGCCAACGUUUUGGAUUUGACUUUCUGAGUCCACACACAGUAGUAUGAGAUGUAGAGAUCAUUCAGUAUGUAUGCUGGGUCGUUUUCCUGAAAAAUUUUGUGAAUAUCCAGGAGACACUUUAAAACUGCACUUUUACUUAAUUGCAGUAUCUUUAUAGUCUCCCCGUAGGCCUUCAUCGCCAGUUUGAAAUGGCGAUAGAGCAGGUAACACAAUACCCUUCUUCCAAAAGACACCAUGAUAUCAUGAACAUUAGUCCAAGUCUCAAACCAGCAUAGUAUUGGACUCAAGUUUCGUGAUAUUCCAUGCAGAUUCAACGUUCUUGUCUCCUUCAGUGACACGGGUUUCUUAGCAAUAUGCCAGAAGGAUAUCAAUCGAACUGUAGUACACUUGACGACAGGCUCUGUUGUCUAGCAGAUAAGAUUUAUUGACAAAUUCUUGUAGCUGAUAUUUCUCUUCUUCAGAAAAAGACACUAAUGCAGCAUGAUUUUCUUGCUUCUGACUCUUUUCCAAAAAGGCCGUCAUUUUUUAAUAUUUGUCAGUCCACCAAGGAUUAUACUUCAAAAUCUGUUCAACUGCCUCAUCUUCAAAAAAGUCAGCUAGAUAAUGAUCAGGAUCAAACUUGGCCAGCUCGGCGGCCAGGUGCUUUUGUUUUCGUUCUGCUGCAGGGAUGAAAUCUGGAUCCUUAAUAACAUCACUCAAUUCAUCCUGUAACUGCUGAAACACUCCUGAUCGUAAGUUUCCAAACCCAUAGUGGCAUGAGGAUUCAAAGCACUUUCUGUUACCUCUUCAUAGGGUGUCUGCUCAAUUUCCCAAUCAAACUCUUCAUCGUCAACUACUUCCUCAGGAAUUUCAGAAUCACCUAUUGCUUCCACAAGUGGUUUUGCUGUCCCGGAUUUUCCUGGUGCCAGAAGAGCAACACAUGUUCAGCCCCUCAAAAUGCUGGCCAGGGGUUUCUCUGGGCAGGCGAGUGGUAAAAAUUCCUUUAUCUGCAUCAUAGGACCCUUGCUCGCUUCCGUAUCCAUAUUCUACAAUUCUUCCAGGAGGGGUUAAUCUGAGAAAGUACGGCUUGGCAUAGUAGUCUAGGCCGACCCCUCGAAGUAGACGUUGAACUCGGAGGCCGGGGCAUAGGGCACGCGGAUGGCGAUGGUCAGGAAAUCCGGCUCCUGGCUGAGGCUGAACGCCGGGGUCAGCAUCGCGGCACCAGACGCAGGGGCCAGCGCGGCUCGCCCUCGCUGCCGCGGCGGUCCCACCAAGCAACUCUCUCCAAUUUUACCUUUUUAAAAUAAAAGAUGUCUGGGCCAGGCGCAGUGGCUCACGCUUGUAAUCCCAGCACUUUGGGAAGCCGAGGCGGGUGGAUCCUGACCUGAGGUCAGGAGUUCAAGAUCAGCCCCGCCGACAUGACGAAACUCCGUCUCUACUAAAAAUACAAACAUCAGCCGGACGUGGUGGUGGGCGCCUGUAAUCCCCACUACUCGGGAGGCUGAGGCAGGAGAAUCACUUGAACCCGGGAGGCAGAGGUUGCAAUGAGCCGAGAUCAUGCCACUGUACUCCAGCCUGGGUGACAGAGUGAGACUCUGUCUCAAAAAAAAAAAAAAAAAAAAAAAAAAAAGUCUGUCUUCCAGGACACAGAAGCCUCCUAUACACACAUUUUGGCACUUGAUUAUGUUAUGUCUUUUACAGUUCUCUGCAUGUUUCUUGCAGGUAAGUCUUGAUUCUUCAAUUACAUAUUAAAUUUCUAUUGAGGAUAUAUAUCUAGCUUUCAUCUUUCAGAGUACCUAGCAUAGGACUUGGCACCAAGUAGCCCAUAGUAAACAGUUAUUCAACCAUAAUGUAUGAUUUUCUUUUCUACUUUUCACUGGUAUGUUUUUGUUUAAAAAGGGUAAACCACCAGGGAUGGAAAUGUCCUUGCUAUGUUAUCCUUCUUCUCUAAUUAGCAACCACCCUUCACAAUCUGCCACAUUACAUUUAAAAAGGAUUUUCAAAUUAGACAUUUAUGCCUGGGCAUUAACCAGGGACUGAUGAAUCAGUGCCAUCAGCAGAACACUGCCCUGACUGGCAGACAUGGCACCAUUGUCAAGACUUGUAAUUUACUCCUGGCUUUUCAAAUAGUCAGUGUGUAACUCCAGGCAAGGUUUAAUUAUCUCCUGUUAAAAUGGGAAUAAUAUGACCCACCCCCACUUUGCUUCCCAUGGGUAUCAUGAGAAUUAAUUAAUUAUUGAAUAAGAAUAUAUGUCUAUAAAAUAUUUUAUAGUUCAUUAGAGGUAAACAAAUGCAAACGUAAGAUAUUGUUCAAUGUAUUAUGAAUGUUCAUUGUUGCUGUAUUUAGUACAAAGUACCUGUAUUAUAUCAACAGUGGUAGUACACAAAAUAAUGAAUACAUGUUGGGUCAGCACCUCCUCCAAUUACCACUUGCAAACAAGUCCUGGAUGGCCAGAACUAAUUGGAAGGUUGAGACAAAAAUUAUAUCUCGCACACUAAAGAAGGGGAGAUUGAUACAGCGCGCUCACCUAAAUUUCGUAGUGCCUUCAUGAACUCUUCAAAAGCUUCAAAUCUAGGCUAGGCUACAGGAAGAACAGCAGCAACUGAAGACUGGCACCUUUUCUGGAACCUCAGCAGCACCUUCCUUGUUUCGUAAGAUUUCGAAGAAGCAUAUCAAAAUUCUUCCACCCAUUCCUUCACAGUAUAAUAGGAGAAAACAUCUAUCCUCCGUUGACACCUGGAAGAAUGAGAUUCCAACUCACUCCAGGACAUGGCCAGAAAAAUUCAACAAAAGAUUUGCUAAAUCCUCUGCACUAUUAUCUAGACCAGGAUUUCUCAACCUCAGCUCUGUGGACAUUUGGGCCAGAUAAUUCUUUGUUACCAGAGGCUGUCCUGUACAUCAUCAGGUGUUUAGCAGCAUUCCUGGCCUCAACCAAAUGGAUGCCAGUAGCACCUCCCCCACCCACUUGUGACAGCCAAAGAUAUCUCCAGACAUUGCCAAAUGUCCCCUGUUAUGGAGAAUCAUCCUCAGUUGAGAAUCACUGGUUUAGGCAAUGAUCAAAGUGGGGCAACUAAAUCAAAAGGCACUGCAAUCUUAAGUUGAUCAAGCAUCCUUCUUUGAAAUCACUCAGCACUUUCAUAUAUUGCAUUUAUAUCUUAGGUAUUCAUAUUCUAACAAUUCAGCCAAUGUUUUUUGAGUUCGCAAUGGACAAGGUACAAGAUCAAGUAAGUAAUUCUGUGUAUCCAUAAAACAGAAAUGGAUAUGGUAUGUCCCAGUUCUCCACAGUAGGCAUUUAUGUUAUUCCCAUCCCAAUAUUUAGCCCUGAUCAGGGUUGUCAAACAUUGCAUGGGACAUACUUAUCCUAAAAAAUUAUUCAUUAUUUAUCUGAAAUUGAAAUUUAACUGGAUGUCCUAUGUGUGUGCAUGUGUAUGUUUGUUUGUUUGUUUCUUUUUCUAAAUCUGAUUACCCUAUCCUAACAGACUCAAGGUUUUUUCCCUGUUCCACAAACUUUAUGACUUGACUUCAUUAAAAAUAAUAAAGAGGAAUAACUGCAAAGGCUUUAAAAAUGCUGUUAGAAUGAGUAGCACAACUGAAUUUGAGGAUACAUUUUCUUUGAAGGAUGUCUAUUUUCCUACUGAAAAUAGUGGCAAACUCCUUAGAACUCAUUCAAAGCCUGAUGGGAUUCAUUGCCUGAUUUAUUUAAAAACACUUCUGAUGCUCACAGACUAUUUAUCAUUUACACAGCAAAUGAUGUUCUUCUAGUAUUCUUGUUGGGUGAGUUAGCAUUGUGGAAGGACAUAGAGGAGAAUCAGACACAAACUUCUUAUAACCUCAUAAACAGGAAGAAAGGGAGCAGAAGCAUAGACUGACUUUACUUUCACUCAGCUUACCUUCCUAGUUCUCCAGGUGUGGUCCUCAGAAGAGGAAUAUCAUGUGACCUGGGAACUUGCUAGAAAUGCACAUCCUUGGGACCCACCCCGGACCUACUGAAUCAGAAACUCUGAGAGUGGGUCCUAGCAACCAGUGUUUUCACAGGCCUUCCAGGUGAUUCUUCCGCAUGUUCGAGUUUGAGAACAACUGCUUUAGAGCCCUGGUUCUUGACCCUGGCUACAGGGUAAAACACCUGGGGAGUUUUUAAAAUACUGAUGCAUGGGGUCCAUUCCAAGGGAGUCUGAUAUAAUUACUAUGGGGUGCAGCCCAGGCGUAAACAUUUUUUAAAAACUCCUCAACCAGAAUAACGGCUCUACAGAAAUUUUAUCAAAUGCCAAAGAAAGAGUUCCUUAUUUUGCAACUAUAGUGCUUUCUACUCUGGCCCUAAUCAACUUUCAUAAAGGCAGAAUGGACAGACAUUACGUGUUUUAAUUUGAAGACUACCAAAAGGCCGGCCAUUAAACUAGGUAUAUGGGCUCGUCCUCAAAUCCCUAAAUCUACUCCUUAGGACCUACUAUAGCCAGUGUCAUAUAAUAGAAAAGUCACUUAUUGUCCACCAGACCCUGCCCUAAUAUUUGAUAACCUCUUGGGGCCUCAUUUUCUUGUGUCUACACUGGGGAUGAUAUUAACUCUUCACAGGAUUUGGGGAAUUAUAAAGAAAGACCAUGUAGUAAAGGCAGGAAGAUCAAUAAUCAAUAAUCACAUCAGAACCUGAAGGGACUUCGUACCAUUGAAGUGAGGCAGAGGAGAGAGAAAUUUAGAAGGACAAAUUCACAAAUUUCAAUGUGUUUCUAUAAUAACUACUUAAAUUAUUUUCUCUUUGAAUUGCCUCACUGUUGUGUGUGUAUGUCCCCACUCCCACCUGUCCCAUUAUUUUCCUGUUUUCACUUGUACCUUGGCAACCCAUCUGUGGUUUUGGCCAAGCUGUUUUAAUGGCAUUGAACCUGGUAGUUUUUUUAAAAGAGUGUGGUAGUAGUUAUAUAUGGCUCGAUAACUCCUGGGGCUACAACAAGGUUAAUGCGACAGUUUUUGUUGUUUAAAAAACAUGCUUGUCUGACAAGUCAAUCAUUUUAAGCCCCUUGUUCACUUCAGGAUGGUUGCUAAAGGCUUCUCUGUGAGCUAAAAGCUCUCGCUGUUAAGGGGCUGCCUGCCCUGACUGUAUGCAUUAAAUGGAACAGUUCUCUACAUGGUUUCUUACUACAGAUGCCUUGGGAUAUAUGGACACUGGCAUUACCUGCUGCAACAGGUCCUCUCCCAGGGUACUGCUGAGACCUAAGGGCUUAAAUGCUCACCAAACCAAGUGACCUUGGAGGGCUGGUCAUGGUGGGCAUCUGGGAGCUGGGAAAGAGCAUUGGAGAACUUCAUAGGGAAACCUAGUAGGCAAAAAUGAAAGAACCCAUAAGGGCCAUUGGCAUGAGCCAUAGCUAAAGGCCACUGGGUUAGCUCUCAAAGAAAACUGCAAGAUUGAAGCAUAAAUUCCUUCAUCAUGAACCAGAAGUCAUGGAGUGGAGCCAGGGGCAAGAAAGAGAAAGAUGAAGAGGUAGAACCACCAGGAUAAAGGUGCCAAGAAAAACAGUGAGAGCAACACUCAGGGAACCAGAGACAGGAACACAGCUGGGAACUAGGAGGAGAAACCACCACAGCUGGAGCGCAAAGUGGCCAGGUCAGAAAAGCCUCAUGGAAUCCUGGUUAACUGAAUGUUUCUAUUGACUGAGGCCACUGCUUAAGCCCUGUAUUCUUUUUUAUUUCAAUCCCCAUGGUUAGAAAAAUAGUCCUAAAAUGGGUUCAUACCCUUUCCUAUCCUGCAAGAUCUUAAACAUCACUAUCUUUUCCUGCAGUAGUUAAAAGCAUGGGCUUUGGAAUCAGAAACUGGGCACAAAUCUGAGCCCUGCUACUUAUUAACUGUGUAACAUUGGUCAAAUGAAUAAACUUCCUGGAGCCUCAGUUUCCUUGCCUGUAAAAUGUGAGUAACAAUACCAACUUAUUUUCAGGUUGUGAGCAUUUCUCCAUAAUAAUCCACAUAAAACACUUACCAGAGCCCUUGGCAUACUGUGUGAGCAUGUAAUAAUGUUAGCUGUCAUUCCAAGACAACAUGUUGGAAUAAUCUACUUUUUCCAUCACUAUAUAUCUCAUUUUCCUUCUUUUUCUUCUCCCUCAAACCUGUCCCCAUUCCAACAGAUGUUUUGGCCUGUGUUCCUAGCCUCCAGUGACAGCAGAAAGCCUGUUAGAUUUCCUGCCUUUGUUUCCCAAAAUUUGAGCCCCAAGAAACUGGGACAAGAUAUUUUCCUGAGACAAGAUAUCUCAGGAAGGGGAAUGAGUGGAGCUUCUUUUCACCCCACACUAGAAAGCCAUUCUGUUUAGAAAAAGGAGACGGAAGGGAAAGAAAAGGGUGCUAUACCAGUUUUCCAGUAUCACCGUCAGGGAGAAAGCAAGGCCGGAGAGUAUCUGGGCAGAUGUAACUAUAAGCAGCCUAAUAAAGGUUCCCAAGUCCAAACCAUGAAUCCAAACGGCAGAGCUGCCAGACAUGAAAGGCCUUGCUGCCCUUCCACCCCACAAUACUUCACCUCUGGAAGCCUUGACAAUUCCAGGGAGUAUUUGCAAAACCCUGCCCCCACCCAAAAUUUUUAAAAUACUGCAUAUGAGUGAGUAAAAUGAUGCCGAGAUUUUUAAAAGGACAAGCUUACCAUCAGAUAGGUAGAAUGAGUAGUAGUGGCAGCGGUGGUGGUAGUGAUAUAGAGAUAAAAGAGUUAAGUGGAGUUACUGAAAUGUGUAGUUAUAUUUCUCACACUCUGGUGUUUGUGGAUUUGUGGGCUGAGAUUCUUAUCAAAUUCCGGAACUUGCAAUGUCUCAAGGUAAUUGUUUAAAAUAUUAAUUGUUUUACUCACACUGCAAAUGUUGAUAUAGAUGCUGGGGUGGAGGUGGGGCAAUAGGCCAGAAUAAGCCCAAGAAUACCUUGGAAUUUGCUGAAUUUCUUUCUUUUUGCAUAAUCUUAUUCACACAUUAACAUAAUAUGAACCACUCUGGCUCCAUGAGCAGCACAGAAGAGACUUUCUGCAAAUGUGAUUAUUAGGGCAAAAGUUAGGAGAUUUUUUGCCCCCAGCUUUUCUCCUCUCCUAAAAUCUUUUUUUUUUUUUCAUUUCUUUGUCAGUGUCUUUAAUUUUUUUAGCUGCAUUUAAAAGGCUUUCUAUUAUUUCUGCAUGAGUAAGAGCAUGUGUCAUGUCAGCCUCCUUGUCAGCUUCUGUUUCACUUUCAUUAAAUUUGUUGAUUGAGUGUAAAGAAGGAGGCACUGUCAUCAUUUCCAGAUUUCAUAGCUGUAGGUUAGAUCUCUCUCGGAGCAAUGCCAUGAUUACUGCUGCAAUUUUGUAAUGGAGCCCUGGAGAGACAGGGAUGAAACCAGGGAAGGCUCCUUAUCCCUUUCGUGGGUCCAGGGAGGCAGAAAGAGAGGGGAGGAGGAUGUUUCUGUUUCACCUCUAUUCAUUCAUUCAUUCAUUUGCUUCACAAAUAUUGAGCACCUCCUGAGUGACAGACACUGAUUUGGGUGCUGGAAAGCAUAAGCAGCCCUGGUGCCUGUCCUCACAGAGCCUAUGGUCUGCUGGUGAGACGGACUUAAUCAGAUAAACACACUAAUGAAUGUAUAGUUGCACCAACAGAUCCUCAUUUAAUUGAGCUGGACUAGGACCUAGGCAUCAGUAUUUUUUUUAUAAGCUUCAUAGGUAACUCUGCCAGGCCUGGGAAUCACUGGGCUAGACCAUGCAAGUUCUAAUCAUAUAGGCUCUACUCAAGCAUUAAGCAUUUUGAUUUUAUCUUUCAAGCUGUGGUGAAAACGUUACUGAAGAGAGGUGAUAUAGUAAGAUGCUCACGGUUUUUAAAAUUAAGCUUUUUUAUUUUGAAAUAAUUAUAGACUCAUAUGCAGUUGUAAGAAAUAAUACAGGGGAAUCCCAUAUAUCCUUUAUCCAGUUUCCCCAAUGGUAACAUCUUGCAAAACUAUGGUACAAUAUCACAACCAGGAUAUUGACCUUGGUGCAGUCAAGAUAAAGCAUUUUCAACACCACAUGAAUCCCUCCUGUUGUCCUUGGAUAGCCCUCCCCACUUUACUCCUGGUGACCACUAAUAUGUUCUCCAUUUCUAUAAUCUUGUCUUUUCAACAGUUAUAUAAGUGGAAUCAUAUAGUAUAGAACCUCAUGGGAUUGGCUGUUUUCUCUCAGCAUCAUUUUCUGGACAUUCAUUCAGGUUGUUUCACGUGUCAAUAGUUUGUUCCUUUUUAGAGGGCUGACUAGCGGUGUUCCAUGUAUAGGGGUGCCAUAGUUUGUUUAACCAUUCACAUGUUGAAGGACAUCUGGGUCUGCUCCAAUGUUCAGAGAUUUUAAAUAGAGCUGCUAUACACAUUUGUGUAUAGGUUUUUGUGUGAACAUGAAGUCUUUGUUUCUCUGGGAUACAUGCCCAAGUGUGCAAUUGCUGAGUUAUAUGAUAGUUGCAUGUAGAAACUAUCAUGCAUAAAGAAACUGUCAAACUAUUUCCAGAGUAUCUGCACCAUUUUACAUUCUCAACAGUAAUGUACCAGUGAUCCAGUUUCUCCUCAUUCUCAUCAGAAUUUAAUGUUGCCACUGUUUUUUAUUUCAGCCAUUCUGAUAGGUAUGUGGUAAUUGCUUGUUGUGGUUUGCUUUGAGUUUCUCUAAUGGCCAACGAUGCUGAACAUCUUUUCAUGUGCUUAGUUGCCAUCUGUAUAUUACCUUUGGUGAAGUGUCUCUUCAUGUCUUUGGCCUAUUUUCUAAUUGGAUUAUUAGCCUUAAUGUUGAGUUUUGAGAGUUUACUUUUAUAUUCCAAAUACUAGUCCCUUUUGUCAAAUAUGGGGUUUGCAAUUUUUUUCCCACUCUCCAAUUUGUUUUUUAUCCUGUUUACAGGGUCUUUCACAGAGCAAAGUUUUUUAAUUGUGAUGCAGUCUAAUUUAUCAGCUUUUCCUUUUAUGGACCAUAUUUUUGGUGUCGAGUCUAAGUCGUCUUUGCUGAGUCCUACAUCAUGAAGAUUUUUUCUUACUAAAAUUUGAUAGUUUUAAAUGUUCUCUAUUUAAGUCCGUGAGUUAUUUUGAGUUAAUUUUUGCAUAAGGUAUAAAUCUUAGGUUGAGGCUCACUUUUUAAUCUUAAGGAUUGCUCAGCAUCAUUUAUUGAAAAGGCUAUCUUCCCUCCAUUGAAUUUCUUUUGUACCUGUGUCAAAACAUCAGUUGCAUAUAUUUGUGUGUAUCAAUUUCUGGGUCUUCUGUUCUGUUCAGUGGAUCUAUGUGUCUAUUUCUCUGCCAAUACCAUAUAGUUUUGACUAUAGUAGCUGUAUAAUAAGUCUUGAAACCCUUGAAACCAGGUAAGACUGGUCCCUUUCAUAUUAGCCUUCCUUUUCAAAAUUGUUUUAGCUAUUCUAGUUCCUUUGCUUUUCUGUAUACAUUGUAGAAUAGUGUUGUCUAUAUCUAUUUUUAAAACUUGCUGGAAUUUUUUUUUAAGAGACAGAGUCUUGCACUGUUGGCCAGGUUGGAGUACAGGGGUAUGAUCAUAGCUCACUACAGCACCAAACUCCUGGGCUCUAGCAAUCUUCCUGCCUCAGUCUCCCAAGUAGGUAGAACUACAUGCAACUGCCACUACAAUCGUAUUUAAAAGUAAAGUUAAAAAAAUUUUUUUUGAGAGAAGAUCUCACUCUGUUGACUAGUCUGGUCUUGAACACCUAGCCUCCAGCAAUCCUCUUGCCUCCCAAAGCACUGGAAUUGCAAGAGUGAGCUACCAGGCCCAACCAGUAUGUUAUGUGUGCAGUUUUUUGUAGAUAUUAUUUAUUAUGUUGAGGAAACUCCCCUCUAUUGCCAUUUUUCUGAUAGUUUUUAAGAUCAUUCAUGGGUGUUGAAGUUUGUCAGAGUCUUUCUGUAUCCAUUGAUUGUUAUGAUCAAGAAUUUUUUCUUUAGCCUGUUAAUACGAUGUAUUAAAUAGCUUCAUUUUCAACUACUGAGCCAGCCUGAAAUAAACCUCGCUUGGUCAUGAUAUAUUAUUACAUAUGCUGCUGAAUUCUAUUUUCUCUUUUACUGGUCUUUUGGCUGGAGAGAGUAGGCUUUUGUUGGGGCUUUACUUGUACGUGCACAUUGUUAUUUCUGGGUUGUCAGCCUCCUUCUCUCCAAGUCUGGGAUAUAUGGGACAAAAACAUAAUCCAGGGAGCCCACCACCUUGUUAGACUUUGAGUCCCUAGAUCCCUAGGUGGUCUGGCUUCUUUUUUUCACCUUUGAAAAUCUUAUGUUUGUUUUAUACAUAAUGUUGAGAGUUUUUCGUUGUUCUUAGUGGCAGAAGUAUAGAAAGAUACUCCAUCUUCUCAAAAAUAGAAGUUCAGAUUAUGUUUUGAAAGGCACUGUAGGCAGGCCAGGGAAGGCUUGUAAAAGGCUACUGCACUGGUCCAGGUGAGGGGAGUUAGUCUGGUAGAAGGCUGUUUCUUCCACCAUUCUCCCCUCACAUUCCACUGCCCCAUUUGCAUGGAGCUGGGGUUCUACUACCCCAGUAGGGCAGCAAGAGAGAAGGAGCAGGCAAUAUCUUGGAGCAUUACACCAUGAUAAAGGGACACCAAUACCCUCCAGAUGCUAGCUGUUUCUUUCUAGAGCUUUUAAACAUUCUCCUUCAGCAGAAGAAAUAAGUCACUCCUGAAAGCAUCCUAACAAUGUGCAUUUCUCCAAAGUUUCCUUAACACUUCACAUUUAACAUGACUCCAGGUAUAAGCAACAUUAAACAAGUCAUAUCUUAUGUUACAACUUGAGUGAAACUUUAAUGAUGCUGAAUUUGCUAAUUUGCUCUGGUAUAAUGUAUUUCCUGUUUAUAAUCCCUUUUGGCUAAUAGCACUAAUCAACAGAAAACACUGACAGACUGCACAAUGGCAACAGUAAUUCUGGACAGAGAUAGUUUUAUUAUCUACAGAUGAAUCCAUGUUUCUAAAACAUUAUUUACUAUAAUGUAAAAUAUGGGUUGGGCGUGGUGGCUCACACCUGUAAUCUCAGCACUUUGGGAGGCUGAGGCGGGCAGAUCACCUGAGGUCAGCAGUUCAAGCCUAGCCUGGCCAACAUGGUGAAACCCCAUCUCUACUAAAAAUACAAAAAUUAGCCAAGUGCAGUGGUGCAUGCUUGUAAUCCCAGCUACUUGGGGGGCUGAGGUAGGAGGAUUGAUUGAACCUGGGAGGCAGAGGUUGCAGUGAGCCGAGAUCAUACCACUGCACUCCAACCUGGGCAACAGAAGGAGACUCUAUCUCAAAAAAUAAAAAUAAAAAUAAAAAUAAAAUGUAGUAGAUAAAGGUCAUAAUUUCUAUGCACCAAAGCUUUUAUAGGAGGCCUGUAUUUUAGCAAUCAACCUGUCCUUAUUCUGUUCAAAUUCAAGGGCACUUGAAUCACUUUAGAUGGUGUCACCUACAUUGGGAAGCAAUCACAGUAUAGAUAUUUUUUCUUAUUAUGUUUGCAAAAUAAACUUCACAAAAUUGUCUA
rnacentral:lncRNA from 1 species